ACCUAUGUACUUCUCCCCAGCAACACUCUGGGCUAAAGAUCACUGGCCUGUUUGCUCCUCCUCACCCUGCUGGGACAGCCUGGCUGCUGGGUUUUACAGACACUGCUCAGGAGGCACUUUGCUUGUGGGACUUGCUGAGCCAAGGAUGCACAGGUGCUAGAGGGAAACAGGGAAACAAAGUAGAGCAAGAUGCACAUCCUGAGCAGCAGCAGCAGCCCUCUCCAGGAAAGGGAGCCUGGAUGGAUUGUAAUGCACAUGGAUAGACUGAAAUGCUCAGCAGAUGAUUUUGCUUAAAUCUCAAAUGCAACCAUGGGAGCAUCUUCCCAAGAUCCUGAAUUAUGCCUGCUGCUAACCACACUCCAGGAGUUCUCGGGCCCCCUCAGCCUGCCUUGCAGUGGAAGUGCCCUGUUGUGUGUAUUUGUGCUGAGUGGAUGCUGCUCCACACCUCCAGCUCCCCACCCUGCAUUCCUCUUCUGCAUUCUUUUCAAGUGAGGCUUUGUGUCAUAUUCAGAAGCUUCUGAGAAGAGGAUGAAAGAAUUCUAGAGCAGUGAGAACAAAGAGGCGUGUUUGAAGGGAGAGAAAACUUAUUUAGGGAAAAAAACACAGGAAAUAAAAGAAGUUUCACUGUGAUUCUACACGUUAGUGAGCAGAAUUGUUCAAGCAUUAUUAAAAGAUAUGAAAUAGGGAACAAACUGUAAGAUUUGUAGUAGCAAUCAGCUUAUUUUUCUGUGCCUUCAUGCUUUACAGAGCUGAAAUAAUUUCAGUGUGCUCUGUUUCCUCUCUAAAUGAGCAUUUCACCACAGUUUGUAACCUCCCAGCUCAUCUCAAAAGGGGCACCAGUGCUAGAGGCAGACACUAAUGAGCCUCUGUAUUCUAAUUGUAUGAAUAUACUGAAGAAUAGAAAUAAAGGCUGUGAAACAGAUUGCAAAGAA